GCCUACGGGGGGCAGCCGUGAGGACUAUUGGUCAAUGGGCGAGCGCCUGACCCCGCCCCUUCGCUUUCAUUCUGAAGGAUCUAUGGUUUGUAAACUUCUUUUAUAUGGGAAUAAAGUGAGGAACGUGUUCCUUUUUGUAUGUACCAUAUGAAUAAGCAUCGGCUAACUCCGUGCCAGCAGCCGCGGUAAUACGGAGGAUGCGAGCGUUAUCCGGAUUUAUUGGGUUUAAAGGGUGCGUAGGUGGUUAAUUAAGUCAGCGGUGAAAGUUUGUGGCUCAACCAUAAAAUUGCCGUUGAAACUGGUUG
rnacentral:rRNA from 1 species